GAAUCCGGUUGAUCCUGCCGGACCUGACUGCUAUCGGAUUGAUACUAAGCCAUGCGAGUCAUUGUAGCAAUACAAGGCAGACGGCUCAGUAACGCGUAGUCAACCUACCCUAUGGACGGGAAUAACCUCGGGAAACUGAGUAUAAUGCCCGAUAGAACAUUAUGCCUGGAAUGGUUUAUGUUCCAAAUGAUUUAUCGCCGUAGGAUGGGACUGCGGCCUAUCAGUUUGUUGGUGAGGUAAUGGCCCACCAAGACUAUUACAGGUACGGGCUCUGAGAGGAGUAGCCCGGAGAUGGGUACUGAGACACGGACCCAGGCCCUAUGGGGCGCAGCAGGCGAGAAAACUUUGCAAUGUGCGAAAGCACGACAAGGUUAAUCCGAGUGGUUUCUGCUAAAGGAACCUUUUGUUAGUCCUAAAAACACUAACGAAUAAGGGGUGGGCAAGUUCUGGUGUCAGCCGCCGCGGUAAAACCAGCACCUCAAGUGGUCAGGAUGAUUAUUGGGCCUAAAGCAUCCGUAGCCUGCUCUGUAAGUUUUCGGUUAAAUCUGUAUGCUUAACAUACAGGCCGCCGGAAAUACUGCAGGGCUAGGGAGUGGGAGAGGUAGACGGUACUCGGGAGGAAGUGGUAAAAUGCUUUGAUCUUUCGAUGACCACCUGUGGCGAAGGCGGUCUGCCAGAACACGUC
rnacentral:rRNA from 1 species